UAACUAAUAGGGUAACUAUGUAAAAGUAAUGUGGUGAAUCAAAAUUUAUACUAAAAACGCAAGUAAUUUAUUAGAUUAUAUUUGAAGUUUUCCAACUUUAAACGUUGAAGACAUAAUAAACUUUGAGAAAAAAUACUUUUACUAUCAUUAUUAUUUUAUAUAUUGAUGGCUUUAACAAACUAAGAAAAUGACAACUAAUCAGUGUCUUUUAAUAUAUUUUAUCCUAAAAAUUUGUUCCACCAAUCGCCAAAAUCUUAUAUUUUACAAAGAUAAGAUUUAUAUAUAUACAGUAAUACGCAAAAUUUGGUUAACUUUUUAAUAUAUAUUAUAUAGUGAUAUUUUAUUAACUAUAAUUUCAUCAAUU
rnacentral:lncRNA from 1 species